rnacentral:rRNA from 1 species
UCAUGGCCCCUAUAGGUGGGGCUACACACGUCAUACAAUGGCUGGUACAAAGGGUUGCUAUCCCGCGAGGGGGAGCUAAUCCCAUAAAGCCAGUCGUAGUCCGGAUCGCAGUCUGCAACUCGACUGCGUGAAGCCGGAAUCGCUAGUAAUCGUGGAUCAGCAUGUCACGGUGAAUACGUUCCCGGGUCUUGUACACACCGCCCGUCACACCAUGGGAGCGGGUUCUGCCAGAAGUAGUUAGCCUAACCGCAAGGAGGGCGAUUACCACGGCAGGGUUCGUGACUGGGGUGAAGUCGUAACAAGGUAGCCGUAUCGGAAGGUGCGGCUGGAACACCUCCUU